UUGCUUGGUGGAUCAGUGGCGAACGGGUGAGUAACACGUGAGCAACCUGCCCUGGACUCUGGGAUAAGCGCUGGAAACGGUGUCUAAUACUGGAUAUGAGGCGUGAUCGCAUGGUCAUGUUUGGAAAGAUUUUUCGGUCUGGGAUGGGCUCGCGGCCUAUCAGCUUGUUGGUGAGGUAAUGGCUCACCAAGGCGUCGACGGGUAGCCGGCCUGAGAGGGUGACCGGCCACACUGGGACUGAGACACGGCCCAGACUCCUACGGGAGGCAGCAGUGGGGAAUAUUGCACAAUGGGCGCAAGCCUGAUGCAGCAACGCCGCGUGAGGGAUGACGGCCUUCGGGUUGUAAACCUCUUUUAGCAGGGAAGAAGCUUUUGUGACGGUACCUGCAGAAAAAGCGCCGGCUAACUACGUGCCAGCAGCCGCGGUAAUACGUAGGGCGCAAGCGUUAUCCGGAAUUAUUGGGCGUAAAGAGCUCGUAGGCGGUUUGUCGCGUCUGCUGUGAAAUCCCGAGGCUCAACCUCGGGCCUGCAGUGGGUACGGGCAGACUAGAGUGCGGUAGGGGAGAUUGGAAUUCCUGGUGUAGCGGUGGAAUGCGCAGAUAUCAGGAGGAACACCGAUGGCGAAGGCAGAUCUCUGGGCCGUAACUGACGCUGAGGAGCGAAAGGGUGGGGAGCAAACAGGCUUAGAUACCCUGGUAGUCCACCCCGUAAACGUUGGGAACUAGUUGUGGGGACCAUUCCACGGUUUCCGUGACGCAGCUAACGCAUUAAGUUCCCCGCCUGGGGAGUACGGCCGCAAGGCUAAAACUCAGAGGAAUUGACGGGGACCCGCACAAGCGGCGGAGCAUGCGGAUUAAUUCGAUGCAACGCGAAGAACCUUACCAAGGCUUGACAUACACCAGAA
rnacentral:rRNA from 1 species